rnacentral:rRNA from 1 species
UGGGGAAUAUUGGACAAUGGGCGCAAGCCUGAUCCAGCCAUGCCGCGUGAGUGAUGAAGGCCCUAGGGUCGUAAAGCUCUUUCACCGGUGAAGAUAAUGACGGUAACCGGAGAAGAAGCCCCGGCUAACUUCGUGCCAGCAGCCGCGGUAAUACGAAGGGGGCUAGCGUUGUUCGGAAUUACUGGGCGUAAAGCGCACGUAGGCGGACAUUUAAGUCAGGGGUGAAAUCCCGGGGCUCAACCCCGGAACUGCCUUUGAUACUGGGUGUCUAGAGUUCGAGAGAGGUGAGUGGAAUUCCGAGUGUAGAGGUGAAAUUCGUAGAUAUUCGGAGGAACACCAGUGGCGAAGGCGGCUCACUGGCUCGAUACUGACGCUGAGGUGCGAAAGCGUGGGGAGCAAAGCAGGAUUAGAUACCCUGGUAGUCCACGCCGUAAACGAUGGAAGCCAGCUGUCGGCAAGUUUACUUGUCGGUGGCGCAGCU